rnacentral:lncRNA from 1 species
AUUUACAAUACAUUUGAAAACGGAAAAAAUAAAAAAUAUUACAGACAUGUAGAAUUCUGUAUGGAACAUUUCCAAAACGAUGCACAUGAUCAUAAAUAUUUCACAUCAGAAGAUCUACACUUAAGUUUACCUAGACUACCAUUAAUUUACUGUUGUAAAAUGGUGCAACUAAGAUGUAGAUUUUUGUAUUCAAGUUCAUCAUUAAUUAAGCUGCAAAACUAUCUGAGGCCAAGAAUUUUUCAUGUUUUAAAGCAGACCUUAAACCUAUUUUGACGUUAAUCAUUUAGCCAUACAUGAAUAAUAACAUUGGAACAUUAAGAAGCUGUGAAAUUUUAUAUGCAUAAUAAUUUUCACACACUUAAUCAAACUUAAGAUGUUUUUGAGGUAAUUUAAAUGAUGCCAAUACUAUAUGAAUUUGUAAUUUUUACCUGUUUGGAAAAUUGUAUAUUUCUUAACAAUUUUUUAUUUCAUUUGUUCAUAUAUGUGUGUUUUUUUAAUAUUUUGUAAUUGUUUGUUAUGUUUCAUUGUAUUUUAUGAGGGCCUCAGAUAAGAUUAGUUUUAUAGCUAACAGUGAAACCCAUUUUAAAUAAAGAAUUAUAAUUAUUAUUAUUAUUUUAAAUCUGUCAGGUACUGUAUGCAAUAUUUUAAUCAGUUUCGAUACAGCUUUAUCUCACUUCCAGUGGCCAACUUUUUUUCACAUUAAUCUCACUUGUAUUAAAGAAUUUAAAAAUUCAAAUUACUUCACUGGAUGAAAAUCUAUUUCAAGGAUUAACUGCUCUUUCAGACUCUUUUAUCAUCUAUUAAUUAAUAAGACUGCUACUCUAGAGUUGUAAAUGUUCUGAGGGUGUAUGUGUGCAAACAGAAAGCAAAUUACUACACUAGAUGAAAAUCCAUUUCGAGGUUUGACAGCUCUUUCAAGAUUUUUAUUAAUGCAAUCCUCUUUGAAUUUAUGUAUUUGGGAACAUGUCCUACAAUAAAAUUAUCUCACUUGACGAAAAUCUCUUUAAAGAUUUGAAUGCUCUUACAGACUUUUUUAUUUUUCUUUUGACGGCUCUUUCAGACUUUUUUAAUUAUUAUAGUAGUCCUCUUUAAUUUGUAUUUAUGUAUUUGGGAACUUGUCGAAAAAGUAAAAUUAUUUCACUUGAUGAAAACCUCUUCAAAGGAUUGACUGCUCUUUCAGACCUUUUUAAUUAUUUAUUAGUAAGACAGCUAUGCAAAUAUAUUUCGAGGUUUGACAGCUCUUACAAACAUUUUUAUUUGUGCAAUCGUCUUUGUAUUUAUGUAUCUGGGAACUAGUUCUUAAGUAAAAUUAUUUCACUUGACGAAAACCUCUUCAAAGGUUUGAAUGCUCUUAGACGUUUUUAUCAUCUAUUAAUUAAUAAUUAAUUAAUUAUUUUUAUUUUGCUAUUCAAGAAUUUUAAAUGUAUUUGAGGACUUGUACAGCAAUCAAAUUACAACACUGGAUGAAAAUCUAUUUCGAGGAUUAACGGCUCUUACAAACAAAAUUACUUCACUUGAUGAAAAUGUCUUUAAAGGAUUGACUGCUCUUUCAGACUUUUUUAAUUAUUUAUUAGUAAGACUGCUAUUCAAGAGUUUCAAAUUUUCUGAGGGUGUAUGUGUGCAAACAGAAAUCAAUUAUUACAUUAGAUGCAAAUAUAUUUCGAGGUUUGACAACUCUUACAAACAUUUUUAUUAGUGCAAUCGUCUUUGUAUUUAUGUAUCUGGGAACUUGUUCUUAAAAUGAUCUUAGACAUUUUUAAUUUUUAUUUUGACAGCUAUUUAAGAAUUUUAAAUGUAUCUGAGGACUUGUACAGCAAUCAAAUUACAACACUGGAUGAAAAUCUAUUUCGAGGAUUAACGGCUCUAACAAACAAAAUUACUUCACUUGACGAGAAUGUUUUUAAAGGAUUGACUGCUCUUUCAGACUUUUUUAAUUAUUUAUUACAUGUAUUAGUAAGACAGCUAUUCAAGAGUUUCAAAUUUUCUGUGGGUGUAUGUGUGCAAACAGAAAUCAAAUAAUUACAUUAGAUGCAAAUCUAUUUCGAGGUUUAACUGCUCUUAAAAACCUUUUUAUUAGUGCACUCUCAUUGUAUUUCAUGAACUUGUUCUACAUAAAAUUAUUUCACUUGACGAAAACCUCUUUAAAGGUUUGAAUGCUCUUAAGACAUUUUUAAUUUUUAUUUUGACUGCUAUUCAAGAAUUUUAAAUGUAUCUGAGGAAUUGUACAGCAAACAAAUUACAACACUGGAUGAAAAUGUAUUUCGAGAUUUGACGGCUCUAACAAAUAAAAUUACUUCACUUGAC